rnacentral:misc_RNA from 1 species
GAUGAAGAACGCAGUGAAAUGCGAUAAGUAAUGUGAAUUGCAGAAUUCAGUGAAUCAUCGAAUCUUUGAACGCACAUUGCGCCCCUUGGUAUUCCGGGGGGCAUGCCUGUUCGAGCGUCAUUUCAACCCUCAAGCUCUGCUUGGUAUUGGGCACCGUCCUUUGCGGGCGCGCCUCAAAGACCUCGGCGGUGGCGUCUUGCCUCAAGCGUAGUAGAAUACACCUCGCUUCGGAGCGUAAGGCGUCGCCCGCCGGACGAACCUUCUGAACUUUUCUCAAGGUUGACCUCGGAUCAGGUAGGGAUACCCGCUGAACUUAAGCAUAUCAAUAAGCGGA